GCUAGGUGUUAGGGGUUUCGAUACCCUUGGUGCCGAAGUUAACACAUUAAGCAUUCCGCCUGGGGAGUACGGUCGCAAGACUGAAACUCAAAGGAAUUGACGGGGACCCGCACAAGCAGUGGAGUAUGUGGUUUAAUUCGAAGCAACGCGAAGAACCUUACCAGGUCUUGACAUCCCUCUGACCGCUGUAGAGAUAUGGCUUUCCUUCGGGACAGAGGAGACAGGUGGUGCAUGGUUGUCGUCAGCUCGUGUCGUGAGAUGUUGGGUUAAGUCCCGCAACGAGCGCAACCCUUAUGCUUAGUUGCCAGCAGGUCAAGCUGGGCACUCUAAGCAGACUGCCGGUGACAAACCGGAGGAAGGUGGGGAUGACGUCAAAUCAUCAUGCCCCUUAUGACCUGGGCUACACACGUACUACAAUGGCCGGUACAACGGGAAGCGAAGCCGCGAGGUGGAGCCAAUCCUAGAAAAGCCGGUCUCAGUUCGGAUUGUAGGCUGCAACUCGCCUACAUGAAGUCGGAAUUGCUAGUAAUCGCGGAGCAGCAUGCCGCGG
rnacentral:rRNA from 1 species